CCAACGAGCCCAACCGGAGCCACCACGGCUGAGUACGAGACACAGCUGAUGGAGUACCGCGGUACACACGGUUAAACUGAAGAUCGGGCUGGACGGCAUCCGGGGAACCCAUGAGAUGAAGGCCAUGGAAGCCAUCAGUCAUGUCAACAACAGGAUCCACUACAGCUCCCUGUUCUACUGCAACACUAUAGACAGCUAGGCCUCCACAGGGAACCCAGCCAAAUGACUAACCUCCAUCAGUAACAACAACUUUCUCUCAGUUUCUCCUCUGCUUUUUCUGAAGUGACUUAUUUCAUUUUAUUUUACUGUCAUGUGGCCAUUUUUAUUACCAUGUGGGUAUCAAAACAUCCUUCACUCAUGCUGCCAAACAUACCCUCGUAAAACUGACCAUCCUACCGAUCCUCGAGUUCGGCGAUGUCAUUUACUUAAUAGCCUCCAACACUACUCAACAAAUUGGAUGCAGUCUAUCACAGUGCCAUCCGUUUUGUCAACAAAGACCCAUAUACUACACACCAUUAAGACCUGUACGUUCUCAUUGUCUGGCCCUCGCUUCAUACUCGUUGCCAAACCCACUGGCUCCAGGUCAUCUACAAGUCUCUGCUAGGUAAAGCCCCGCCUUAUCUCAGCUCACUGGUCACCAUAGCAACACCCACCCGUAGCACGCGCUACGGGUCACUGGUCACCCCCAAAGCCAAUUCUUCCCUUGGCCGCCUCUCCUUCCAGUUGUCUGCUGCCAAUGACUGGAACAAACUGCAAAAAUCCCUGAAGCUGGAGACUCUUACCUCGCUCACUAGCUUUAAGCACCAGCUGUCAGAGCAGCUCACAGAUCAUUGCACCUGUACAUAACUCAUCUGUAAAUAGCCCAUCCAACUACCUCAUCCCCAUACUGUAUUUAUUUAUUUAUGUUGCUCCUUUGCACCCCAAUAUCUCUACUUGCACAUUCAUCUUCUGCACAUUCUACCAUUCCAGUGUUUAAUUGCUAUAUUGUAACUACUUCACCACCAUGGCCUAUUUAUUGCCUUACCUCUCUUAUCCUACCUCAUUUGCACAUGAUGUAUAUAGGUGUUUCUACUGUAUUAUUGAUUGCAUGUUUGUUUUGAUGUUGAGUCUUUGCCUGACAAAGUGAAUAUUUCAGUUAUCCCAUACAAGCUUUUCUGCCAAAUACAUUACGUUGUUACAGAUGUCAAGCUCAUGGGCAUGUGGCAGCAAUGUGUAGAAGGGAGGUUGCUAGGUGUGAGACAUGUAUAGUAUUGGGGAAAGAAGCGGUAUGUGUUAAUGUAGGGGUGCCCAUGGAGCUGGGAUCAGAAAUGUCCGGUGCGAGAGCGGCAAGUUGAGCUUACCAUGGUUACAGUUUGGACACACCUACACAUUCAAGAGUUUUUCUUUAUUUUUACUAUUUUUUAUAAUAUAGAAUAAUACUACUGCAGAGUGAAGAAAAUUGCAGCCAACAAGUGCUCAGCAUAUGUGGGAACUCCUUCAAGACUGUUGGAAAAGCAUGCCAUGCCAAGGGUGUGCAAAGCUGUCAUCAAGGCAAAGGGUGGAUACUUUGAAGAAUCUCAAAUAUACAAUAGAUUUAGAUUUGUUUAACACUUUUUUUGGUUACUAGAUGAUUCCAUAUGUGUUAUUUCAUAGUUUUGAUGUAUUCCCUAUUAUUCUGCAAUAAUAGGAUUGUCCAAACUUUUAAGUGGUACUAUAUGCUUCAGUAAAAUUUGGCUUUUUAAUGUUCAUAGCAAUGGUUAUCAACUGUACCGCAUGGAUGGAAUGUAAGUCACACAAAAUGGAUGUUGUGACAGCUGCAGAGAAGCAUUUGGGUGUACAAUAUUUGACGUCCGAAGAGUUACAGGGUGGGUAAAAGGAUGUUCUCAUUCAUUUAAAUCUAUUUAAUUUGAGGACUUUCUUUGUUUGGUAGAUAAUAUUCCUGUGUCUGUUAAUUAUGUGCUUUCCUAGCCCUGUUUGAAAUAAAAGCUCAUGUUCAUUUAUCCUUUCUAUAGACCUUGAUGUGUUUAGUUAUUUGUGCUUUUGUGUUUUUCAUGCCUUGUUUCGUCAUCCGUCUAAUGGUCAAGUGAGAAAGAUGGUCCUAGUUUUCUGAUAGACAAGACACUCAACUGCAAAGCUGUCACAACCACACUGACAUCCCUUUCAAUCUUUUUCUGGUAAUAAUUAAAGUUCACAAGUAAUCUACUUCA